rnacentral:rRNA from 1 species
AUUGAACGCUGGCGGCAGGCCUAACACAUGCAAGUCGAGCGGAUGACGGGAGCUUGCUCCUUGAUUCAGCGGCGGACGGGUGAGUAAUGCCUAGGAAUCUGCCUGGUAGUGGGGGACGACGUUUCGAAAGGAACGCUAAUACCGCAUACGUCCUACGGGAGAAAGCAGGGGACCUUCGGGCCUUGCGCUAUCAGAUGAGCCUAGGUCGGAUUAGCUAGUUGGUGGGGUAAUGGCUCACCAAGGCGACGAUCCGUAACUGGUCUGAGAGGGUGAUCAGUCACACUGGAACUGAGACACGGUCCAGACUCCUACGGGAGGCAGCAGUGGGGAAUAUUGGACAAUGGGCGAAAGCCUGAUCCAGCCAUGCCGCGUGUGUGAAGAAGGUCUUCGGAUUGUAAAGCACUUUAAGUUGGGAGGAAGGGCAGUAAGUUAAUACCUUGCUGUUUUGACGUUACCGACAGAAUAAGCACCGGCUAACUCUGUGCCAGCCGCCGCUGUAAAAC